rnacentral:rRNA from 1 species
UACGUAGGGGGCUAGCGUUGUCCGGAAUCAUUGGGCGUAAAGCGCGUGUAGGCGGUUCGGUAAGUCCGCUGUGAAAGUCGGGGGCUCAACCCUCGAAUGCCGGUGGAUACUGUCGGACUAGAGUACGGAAGAGGCGAGUGGAAUUCCUGGUGUAGCGGUGAAAUGCGCAGAUAUCAGGAGGAACACCAAUUGCGAAGGCGGCUCACUGGCCCGGUACUGACGCUGAGGUGCGAAAGCGUGGGGAGCAAACAGG